rnacentral:ncRNA from 1 species
AUCUUCGGGGUAGGGUGAAAUUCCUGACCGGCGGUGAGGUUUUCCAGCAGGGAAACCGCAGCCCGCGACUCGCCUGCGGCUUUUAACGACCGCGUGCGACUGACUUGGUGCGAUUCCAAGGCCGACGGUAAAGUCCGGAUGGGAGAAGAU